ensembl:lncRNA
GUGGUACCGGUACAGAGUCAAUGUGGAGACUAUAUACAGGGGGUACCGGUACAGAGUCAAUGUGGAGGCUACAUACAGGGGGUACUGGUACAGAGUCAAUGUGGAGACUAUAUACAGGGGGUACCGGUACAGAGUCAAUGUGGAGGCUAUAUACAGGGGGUUACGGUACAGAGUCAAUGUGGAGGCUAUAUACAGGGGGUAUCGGUACAGAGUCAAUGUGGAGGCUAUAUACAGGGGGUACCGGUACAGAGUCAAUGUGGAGGCUAUAUACAGGGGGUACCGGUACAGAGUCAAUGUGGAGGCUAUAUACAGGGUAUUACGGUACAGAGUCAAUGUGGAGGCUAUAUACAGGGGGUACCGGUACAGAGUCAAUGUGGAGACUAUAUACAGGGGGUACUGGUACAGAGUCAAUGUGGAGGCUAUAGACAGG